CCCACCUCGACCUCCCAAAGUGCUGGGAUUACAGGCCUGAGCCACCUCACCUGGUUGUAUUUUCCUUUAAUCAAUGACAUUCAGCUUCCUGCUGUCCCCUCCAAGAGUGUGAAGGGCUGUCGUCAGGUUGUUGCUGGAAAUAUUAAAGCAAUCAGAAGGCUGGAUCAUUCCUGUAGCAGUAUUGGCUGAGUGUCUACUGGGCUGGAGCCAUUGGAGAAGCCAGUUCUGACCAUUACCCGGGGUUUACAUCUGAGUCCAUGGACUUCACUCAAGUUGUUGGCGUAGUUUGGAUAUGCCUUAGGACUGGAAGGUGGGCAAUUCUGGAAGGUGCUGGAAGUUGGGCCAGUAGGAACUGAAGGGAUGUGAAUAAAGCACUGAUAGCAUCUGCCACAGUCCCCGAUGGAGAAUCUGAGGCUCAGAGGUGUUAAGCAAUUUCUCCAAGGUCAUUCAGCUUGGAUUCAAAAUCAGGAACUCUUCACCUUUCCAGAAUAUGGAGGACUAUGAUACAACUGAUAGCACAUUUGGAUUUACUAUUUCACUUGAACAGUUGGUGUUUACUGGCAGCAACAAGAACAAAAUUUAUAGCAGCAAAUGGAAGCUGAACUCGCAUGCUGGC